rnacentral:rRNA from 1 species
CACCGCAUGGUGUAGGGUUGAAAGAUGGUUUCGGCUAUCACUUUAGGAUGGACCCGCGGUGCAUUAGUUAGUUGGUGAGGUAAAGGCUCACCAAGACCGUGAUGCAUAGCCGACCUGAGAGGUAAUCGGCCACACUGGGACUGAGACACGGCCCAGACUCCUACGGGAGGCAGCAGUAGGGAAUCUUCCACAAUGGACGAAAGUCUGAUGGAGCAACGCCGCGUGAGUGAAGAAGGUUUUCGGAUCGUAAAACUCUGUUGUUGGAGAAGAAUGUAUCUGAUAGUAACUGAUCAGGUAGUGACGGUAUCCAACCAGAAAGCCACGGCUAACUACGUG